rnacentral:rRNA from 1 species
GACGAACGCUGGCGGCGUGCCUAAUACAUGCAAGUAGAACGAGUUGCGAACGGGUGAGUAAUGUCUGGGAAACUGCCCGAUGGAGGGGGAUAACUACUGGAAACGGUAGCUAAUACCGCAUACCAUCGGAUGUGCCCAGAUGGGAUUAGCUAGUUGGUGAGGUAAAGGCUCACCAAGGCGACGAUACAUAGCCGACCUGAGAGGGUGAUCGGCCACACUGGGACUGAGACACGGCCCAGACUCCUACGGGAGGCAGCAGUAGGGAAUCUUGCACAAUGGGCGCAAGCCUGAUGCAGCCAUGCCGCGUGUAUGAAGAAGGCCUUCGGGUUGUAAAGUACUUUCAGCGAGGAGGCGUUACUCGCAGAAGAAGCACCGGCUAACUCCGUGCCAGCAGCCGCGGUAAUUC